ACAGAUAAUACAGAGGACUUCAGACCUCACCUUAUACUUAUAGAAGUUAAGAGUGUUUUUACCUUCUUUUAUAAAACUAUUCUUCUAAAUACACCUCAAGUGAGACUCAGCAACCACGGAUUAGGCAAGCCAGUGUAUGAGAGGACAGGAAACGGAAGGUCUAAAAUUAACUUGAAUUGGAGUUUAUCUGAAUUGCCAAAGCUACCCACACAUCAGUUUAAAUUUGGUUGGCUUUGAACUGGCAAGGGCUGGCAAAGGACAAAAGGAAACAUCACCAACCUUAGCAAUGUCCAGCAGUUCAUUCCCAGAACCCUCCUCUGCUCCAACACUAAGCGAGACCUCCCCAGUGGUUGAGAACACCCAAAACUAACAUUUGGUGGCCAUUUUGAAAUAUAUGCAUUUUAUUUUUCUCUGUUGUGUUAUUUGGCAGUGAUACUGCAUGUAAUAAAUGCAUGUACUGGAUUUACAAUAGACCCUUCAGGCGUGGCGAUCCCUACGUUCCCAGCAAGACCAAGAGUAUAAAGAAUCUUUGUUAGCAGACCAAGAGAAGGUAGAAUUUAUUUAUUUAUUUUUUUUUGGUAAGUUUUAACUGUUCUUAUUUUUUUGUUCAAAGCAAAAAUACAAUUCUUAUUGUCACAUGAAAAGAGAAAACAGUGUUACAAGGCCUGGGAGGAAAGACAUAAAAAGGUUAGACCUAAUUCAAUCUUAAGGUAACAAUCUUAGAUUGUUAACCUAAUUGUUUGAGGGCUCAUGUUUUAGGCAAUUGAAGACAGAUGUCAGAGAAUGGCAGCAUGUGAGGAACCAUCAAGGGGGCUGCUGUUGAAGUUCAACAUCUGCAUGAGAAAAUUCACUGUGUCUGAGCCAAUUCAGGUCCUGUUUGACUUUGUUGGACAAGAUGAAAUGGCCAGCGAAAUUUUCAGUGUGCAAGAAGCAACAUCGUCAACACCAACUGAGAGUAAUUCAUCAGGAUCACUUAUGGAUCAUGGUAUAAACACCUCUGCAACUCUGAAUAUCCAGGAAAUGAUCACUGAUAAGCCGAAUAAUGGAGUUUUUGACCAUCCACUGCCCUCCGCCCAGGCGCCGCCCAGACGCUACCGGAACUACCUUCUGUUCAGGCGCUGCUGACCCUGCCCUCCGCCCAGGCACUGCCCGCCAUACCUUCCGCCCUGGCGCCGCCCGCCCUGCCCUCCGCCCAGGUGCUGCCCACCCUACCCUCCGCCCAUGCGCCGCCGGACCUACCUUCUGUUCAGGCGCUGCUGACCCUGCCCUCCAAUCAGACGCCGCCGGCCCUACCUUCUGCCCAGGCACUGUCGACUCCAUCGUCCUCUCAACCACCGUUGAUCCCAGCCUCAGGGCCGCUGGCCUUGCCCUCUGACCAGGCACCACAAGUGAUUAUCAUUGAGGAUCGGUCACCAACUUUUCCAUCUAUUGAGCCACCCACAGUCAUCCUUGAAGACCAAGAAGAACAACUUUGUCUCUCUCCACCCCAGUCUCCUCUAUGUCAGCUGGAUUUGCCUUUGGAUGAGACUAACCUACAGACCAUAUCUGGCCAGCAAAGUUGAUAUGAGUAUCUGUCCCACAAGCAACCAAAUAAAUGUUUGCAGGGACAGGAUUUUAGAAUGUAGCCUGCAAGCAUUCAAAAGACGACAGUUUAACCCAGCAGCAAAACUGGACGUUGUUUUUGUGGAUGAGGAACAGAAAUCUGAAGGGGCAGUUGAUGAAGGAGGUCCAACAAGAGAGUACUUAAGGCUACUGAUGAGGGCCAUUCAUUAGUCAAAUAUCUCUGAGGGGCAUGAGAAGGACCAGCAUUUGGCCCUAGACACUAAAGUGUUGGAGUCUAAACUAUACGCCUGGAUGGGAAAAAUGAUAUCCGUUUGUUUGGUGCAUGGAGGCAUUGGCCCACACUUCUACUCAGAGAGGCUUUAUCAGCAGAUUUGUGGCAUACCAACACAUCCCACACUGGUAGAGGAAGUUUCAGGGAGCAGCUGAUCAAAAUACAGGAAGCAAAAACAGUCAGAGAGGCAAAUGAAGCUAUUAUGGAGGCAGCAGACAGCCUGAGUAUUGUUGGUGCUUUAAGACAUGUAUCUAAUCUGGAGGAGAAGGAUUCACUUGUGCAGUCUGCUGCGGAUUUCUUUGUAAACGGAAGAGUGCACGCUGCCUUGGAACAGUUUGCAGUAGGUUUAAGGACUCUCGGCUUGCUGGAGGAGCUGCAGAAAAACUCUGGACUAUUUUACAAUAUGUUUGUCAGUGAGGAGAGACCACCUCAGGCACGGGACUUGUGCACCCUUUUUGAAGUGCAUUUUUCCAAGCAAGGCAGCAACAGAAGAGCUAGAGAAAAUCAAACAAUAUGCUUUUGGAGAGACUGGUUGAAGGUUGAAGGUAUAUAUUGAAGAUGGAGAAUGCAGUCCCAUUACACUUGAGAUGAUACUGGAGUUUGCCUCUGGAGCAUCCACGGUGCCUCCACUGGGAUUUCACCAUCGCCCACCAAUUGAGUUCCUCCAUGAGGCCAACAAAAUCUUCCCGGAGGCAAAUACUUGCCUUGUAGUACUCCGCCUUCCAGUACACACAGACUAUGAAUCUUUCAAAAAGUACAUGAAAGAGGGUAUUCUGCAGGCACCUACUUUUGGUGUUGCAUAAGCAGCCAGUAAGUGCAACAGUUCAUUCACAGUUCCUUAAAAGAAAUAAUUUUGUUGGAAAGUUUGAAAUUUGUUGCUGUGUAAAAGCCAGACUGAAACCAACUACAAAAUGUGAUCUUUGCUAAUGUUUCUUUUUUUCCAUAAAAUAAGACCUUUAUUUAAAUGCAGUAUUAUUCAAAAGUUUGAUAUCACUUGCCAUACAAUUUCACUUCAUUUAAUAUUUCUAGAAUUCUGUGAAUAAGAAGUAAGUACAUACAAUGUUAUACUGUCAUUAUUUAGUUGCCUGGGUAUUUGCCUUUGAGAUUUGGUCUCCGGAUUUGAAAUUUGAAUUACCUAUGUGCUUCUUCUCCCUAUGCACUAACAUUUCUUUGAAAACUGUUUUUAUAUAACAUUUUUAUACACUUAUCCGUAACCUAAUUGGUUUUAUAUUGUUGCAGACAUAAAUUCUGAAAGUUUUAAUGGUAGUGUAGAUGUUACUUAACACCCCUGCAUCAGCUAUGUGUUUUCUGACAAAUGUAACAGCAUGUCCAUUGUCUUGUUGUCAAACAUUCUUAAAAAAUGUUAAGUCAAUAAAGCAUUUGCAAUUUUA